rnacentral:lncRNA from 1 species
GGAAAUUUGACAAAUCUGUUUGAUCUUCAACUGGCCAACAACUUUUUCAAUGGUUCCAUCCCUUCCACCAUUGGAAAUUUAUCCAGUCUUGUGAAGUUAAGUCUUUCUUCUAACCAACUUACUGGAACCCUUCCUCCUGAAAUAGGCAACGUGAAAAUGUUAGAAGAGUUGGACUUGAGCUCAAAUAAUUUGCGAGGAACUCUUCCCAUGUCAAUAACCAACUUACAAAGCCUCACCCUGUUAUAUGUUUCAUUCAACAACUUCUCAGGAAGCAUUCCAGCUGAUUUUGGACCCAGAUUCUUAAGAAAUGUGAGCUUCUCCUACAAUAAUUUUUCUGGAAAGCUGCCUCCAGGAAUUUGUAGAGGUGGGAAC